AUGUUCAGGUGUAUCAUACUGCUUGCUACACAAGUCGGUUUUGUAGGUUGUUCUGAAAUGCACCGAGUUAGAUACAGCCGCAUGUCUGCCACAAUUUCUUACUCUCGGUGCAAAGACAAUGCUGGAGUCAUUGUGAACCCAAAGGGAGAGAUGAAAGGGAAGGAGAUGGAGGGUGACGCACAACCAUGGAGAGGAGCAGCAGUAGCACAAAGUCCUUUCUCCUCCACGCCACCUCUGCCACUCUCUCGUUUUGAUUUGCUAUGUUGGGUUCCAAGAUUAGAAAUAUUUUUUGUUUCCAUCUUUAUCCAUGUGCUAUCAUUAACUCUGAGAAAAUGUUAUGUUUUUGCUGAUUAG
rnacentral:rRNA from 1 species